UACGUAGGGGGCAAGCGUUAUCCGGAAUUACUGGGUGUAAAGGGAGCGUAGACGGUAAUGUAAGUCUGGAGUGAAAGGCGGGGGCCCAACCCCCGGACUGCUCUGGAAACUAUGUUACUAGAGUGCAGGAGAGGUAAGCGGAAUUCCUAGUGUAGCGGUGAAAUGCGUAGAUAUUAGGAGGAACACCAGUGGCGAAGGCGGCCUGCUGGACGAUGACUGACGUUGAGGCUCGAAAGCGCGGGGAGCAAACAGG
rnacentral:rRNA from 1 species